ACUCCUACGGGAGGCAGCAGUAAGGAAUAUUGCGCAAUGGGCGACAGCCUGACGCAGCGACGCCGCGUGGGGGAUGAAGGUCUUCGGAUUGUAAACCCCUUUCGGCAGGGAAGAUGGAACGGGCAACUGUUCGGACGGUACCUGCAGAAGCAGCCACGGCUAACUUCGUGCCAGCAGCCGCGGUAAUACGAAGGUGGCAAGCGUUGUUCGGAUUUACUGGGCGUACAGGGAGCGUAGGCGGUUGGGUAAGCCCUCCGUGAAAUCUCCGGGCCUAACCCGGAAAGUGCAGAGGGGACUGCUCGGCUAGAGGAUGGGAGAGGAGCGCGGAAUUCCCG
rnacentral:rRNA from 1 species